CCCCUAGAUGUUCUGGGCCGCACGCGCGCUACACUGAACAGUUCAACAAGUCUUAACCUUGGCCGAUAGGUCUGGGUAAUCUUUGAACGCUGUUCGUGAUUGGGAUAGACCUUUGCAAUUAUGGGUCUUCAACGAGGAAUUCCUAGUAAACGCAAGUCAACAGCUUGCAUUGAUUACGUCCCUGCCCUUUGUACACACCGCCCGUCGCACCUACCGAUUGAAUGGUCCGGUGAAAUCUCGGGACGGCGGCUUGGUCGCUUGCGUCCGACUGCUGAAACUUGAUUAAACCAUAUCAUUUAGAGGAAGGUGAAGUCGUAACA
rnacentral:rRNA from 1 species